rnacentral:rRNA from 1 species
AUUGAACGCUGGCGGCAGGCCUAACACAUGCAAGUCGAACGAGUGGCGGACGGGUGAGUAAUGUCUGGGAAACUGCCUGAGGGAGGGGGAUAACUACUGGAAACGGUAGCUAAUACCGAAUACAAUCAGAUGGGCCCAGAUGGGAUUAGCUAGUUGGUGGGGUAACGGCUCCCCAAGGCGACGAUCCCUACUGGGUCUGAGAGGAUGACCAGCCACACUGGAACUGAGACAGGGUCCAGACUCCUCGGGGAGGCAGCAGGGGGGAAUAUUGCACAAUGGGCGAAAGCCUGAUGCAGCCAGGCCGGGUGUAUGAAGAAGGCCUUCGGGUUGUAAAGUACUUUCAGCGGGGAGGCGUUACCCGCAGAAGAAGCACCGGCUAACUCCGUGCCAGCCGCCGCGGUAUAC